GCCCUGAUGGUCCAGAGGUACGAUUCAUCCUUCGGGGAAUGUUAGCUCUCCGGCUCUCAAAAGAGCCCUGUAUGGAUGAGACCCGCGUUCGAGUCGCGGUCAGGGCC